AUGCCAGUCUCAGCCUUUUGGCUAAGAUCAAGGGUAGUAGCUGUUCUUAUCAGUUUAAUAUCUGAUACGCCCCCUAUCUGGGGGCCAUAUAGUAAAUGGAUUUUUUGAAGAGGGAGAUAGAAGAAGAGUUUGCUCUGUCCACUCCACGAACCUAUCUAAUGCACGAUAUUGACGCGUUAUUCAACCCAU